AGGACAUAUCUUCAUCUCUACCCCUAGAGAGUUUUGAACGGAAGAGAACUCUGCAGCCAUAAGGCCGCUCUUGGUACCUUACGAUACUUUUUUAUAAUAUGUCACGAGUAGUAACAGAAAGCUACUGUAACGGUCAACGGCCUCAGGUGGCGUCCCUUUCCUCAGCGCCACCACGCCCAUUAGAGCGACGGGGCUAAACGUUUGCAAUAUCACUGAGUGACGUCGCCCGAGCUGAUAAACUGCGCACACGACAAGAUCACGGCAAAUUACGUACGUUCAGAUUGGGGCCAAUCAAUGUGUUAGCCUGUUUAUUGUAAACAUCGCUCAAUACACGUUCUAUCAUCA